UGGGGAAUUUUGGACAAUGGGCGAAAGCCUGAUCCAGCAAUGCCGCGUGUGUGAAGAAGGCCUUCGGGUUGUAAAGCACUUUUGUCCGGAAAGAAAUCCUUGGCUCUAAUACAGUCGGGGGAUGACGGUACCGGAAGAAUAAGCACCGGCUAACUACGUGCCAGCAGCCGCGGUAAUACGUAGGGUGCAAGCGUUAAUCGGAAUUACUGGGCGUAAAGCGUGCGCAGGCGGUUUGCUAAGACCGAUGUGAAAUCCCCGGGCUCAACCUGGGAACUGCAUUGGUGACUGGCAGGCUAGAGUAUGGCAGAGGGGGGUAGAAUUCCACGUGUAGCAGUGAAAUGCGUAGAGAUGUGGAGGAAUACCGAUGGCGAAGGCAGCCCCCUGGGCCAAUACUGACGCUCAUGCACGAAAGCGUGGGGAGCAAACAGGAUUAGAUACCCUGGUAGUCCACGCCCUAAAACGAUGUCAACUAGUUGUUGGGGACUCAUUUCCUUAGUAACGUAGCUAACGCGUGAAGUUGACCGCCUGGGGAGUACGGUCGCAAGAUUAAAACUAAAGGAAUUGACGGGGUCAUAGCUG
rnacentral:rRNA from 1 species